rnacentral:rRNA from 1 species
CCUACGGGAGGCAGCAGUGGGGAAUAUUGGACAAUGGGGGCAACCCUGAUCCAGCCAUGCCGCGUGAGUGAUGAAGGCCCUAGGGUUGUAAAGCUCUUUCGACGGGGACGAUAAUGACGGUACCCGUAGAAGAAGCCCCGGCUAACUUCGUGCCAGCAGCCGCGGUAAUACGAAGGGGGCUAGCGUUGCUCGGAAUCACUGGGCGUAAAGCGCACGUAGGCGGAUCUUUAAGUCAGGGGUGAAAUCCCAAGGCUCAACCUUGGAACUGCCUUUGAUACUGGGGAUCUCGAGUCCGGAAGAGGUUGGUGGAACUGCGAGUGUAGAGGUGAAAUUCGUAGAUAUUCGCAAGAACACCAGUGGCGAAGGCGGCCAACUGGUCCGGUACUGACGCUGAGGUGCGAAAGCGUGGGGAGCAAACAUGAUUAGAUACCCUGGUAGUCCACGCCGUAAACGAUGGAUGCUAGCCGUUGGACAGCUUGCUGUUCAGUGGCGCAGGUAACCCUUUAAGCAUCCCGCCUGGGGAGUACGGUCGCAAGAUUAAAACUCAAAGGAAUUGACGG